rnacentral:rRNA from 1 species
GACGAACCGUGCGAACGUUGUUCGGAAUCACUGGGCUUAAAGGGCGCGUAGGCGGGCCAUAAAGUCAGGGGUGAAAUCCUCCAGCUUAACUGGAGAACUGCCUUUGAUACUGAUGGUCUCGAGUAAGGUAGGGGGCAUGCGGAACUGAUGGUGGAGCGGUGAAAUGUGUUGAUAUCAUCAGGGAACUCCGGUGGCGAAGGCGGCAUCUGGGACCUUCACUGACGCUGAGGCGCGAAAAGGCUAGGGUAGCGAACGGG